GACGUAGGGCGCGAGCGUUGUCCGGAUUUAUUGGGCGUAAAGAGCUCGUAGGCGGCUUGUCGCGUCGUCCGUGAAAACCCACAGCUCAACUGUGGGCUUGCGGUCGAUACGGGCAGGCUAGAGUUCGGUAGGGGAGACUGGAAUUCCUGGUGUAGCGGUGAAAUGCGCAGAUAUCAGGAGGAACACCGAUGGCGAAGGCAGGUCUCUGGGCAUUAACUGACGCUGAGGAGCGAAAGCAUGGGGAGCGAACAGG
rnacentral:rRNA from 1 species